rnacentral:rRNA from 1 species
UACGAAGGGGGCUAGCGUUGCUCGGAAUCACUGGGCGGAAAGCGCACGUAGGCGGCUUGUUAAGUCAGGGGUGAAAUCCUGGAGCUCAACUCCAGAACUGCCUUUGACACUGGCGAUCUCGAGUCCGGGAGAGGUGAGUGGAACUGCGAGUGUAGAGGUGAAAUUCGUAGAUAUUCGCAAGAACACCAGUGGCGAAGGCGGCUCACUGGCCCGGUACUGACGCUGAGGUGCGAAAGCGUGGGGAGCAAACAGG